rnacentral:rRNA from 1 species
AAGGAUGUGGGAUUGCACAGACAACCAGGAUGUUGGCUUAGAAGCAGCCACUCAUUCAAAGAGUGCGUAAUAGCUCACUGGUCGAGUGAUCCUGCGCCGAAGAUUUCCGGGGCUAAAACUUACUACCGAAGCUACGGCAUCAGUAAUGAUGGGUAGGGGAGCUUCCCAUACGGGUUGAAGCAUGACCGUAAGGACAUGUGGACAGUAUGGGAGUGAGAAUGUUGGCAUGAGUAGCGAGAUGUGGGUGAGAAUCCCACAGGCCGUAAACCCAAGGUUUCCAGGGGAAGGUUCGUCCGCCCUGGGUUAGUCGGGACCUAAGCUGAGUCCGAAAGGCGUAGGUGAUGGACAACAGGUUGAUAUUCCUGUACUACCGAUAACCG